UACGUAGGGGGCAAGCGUUGUCCGGAUUUAUUGGGCGUAAAGAGCGUGUAGGCGGCUUGACAGGUCUGCUGUGAAAACUCGAGGCUCAACCUCGAGAUGUCGGCGGAAACCGUCUGGCUAGAGUCCGGAAGAGGAGAGUGGAAUUCCUGGUGUAGCGGUGAAAUGCGCAGAUAUCAGGAAGAACACCUAGUGACGAAGGCAGCUCUCUGGGACGGUACUGACGCUGAGACGCGAAAGCGUGGGGAGCGAACAGG
rnacentral:rRNA from 1 species